rnacentral:rRNA from 1 species
CAGCCGCCACGGUAAUACGUAGGUGGCAAGCGUUGUCCGGAAUUAUUGGGCGUAAAGGGCUCGCAGGCGGUUUCUUAAGUCUGAUGUGAAAGCCCCCGGCUCAACCGGGGAGGGUCAUUGGAAACUGGGAAACUUGAGUGCAGAAGAGGAGAGUGGAAUUCCACGUGUAGCGGUGAAAUGCGUAGAGAUGUGGAGGAACACCAGUGGCGAAGGCGACUCUCUGGUCCGUAACUGACGCUGAGGAGCGAAAGCGUGGGGAGCGAACAGGAUUAGAUACCCGCGUAGUCCCUGUCUCUUAUAC